rnacentral:tRNA from 2 species
GGUCAGGUGUCCGAGCGGUUGAAGGAGCACGCCUGGAAAGCGUGUAUACGUUCAUAGCGUAUCGAGGGUUCGAAUCCCUCCCUGACCGCCA